rnacentral:snoRNA from 15 species
CGCCAAUAUGAUGAAUACUUAUGUAAUUCUUGAUAGGAAGAGUAUGAAACAUAAUGAGUACUAUAUACUAAUCUGAUUUAGAA